UCUCAUUGCGAUGGUGUGCUACAGAAUCUUUUAACAAUUAAAGUACUAGCUCUGGCUUCCUGCGAUUCCAUUGUUUCUCAUUGGCUAUUCGCUUGUAGAAAACUCUCACCUGUAGUGUAAUUGCUAAUAUAUGAAACGGUUUAGUAGGAAAAUGAAUAUCAGUCAUUGAUUCAGAGGAGGUUUGAUUACGAUUAAGGAUGUGCAACUGGUUUCAAUAUUGUGGUAAGUAAACGAAUGUUCUUCAUUUGAACACUACGAGUAGUGUAAGACGCUCAACAGUUGCAUAGCCAAUCAGAGCGCAAGAUUUUUGAAUGAGCCAAUCAGAGGACCGUAUUUAGCACACGUCACUAACUUGCACAGAAAGUGUCGCGCUCUUGCCGCUCCGAUGCGUCACAGGUUCUGAAUGUGAGCGUGAACGAUAUUGGUGAUAGUGGUGCGGAUCAUCUCUAUAUGAAAGCUUCUGAAGCCCUUGAAGUGAAUAGCACGUUGACAAAUGCGGAUGUGAGCAGAAACAACAUUGAGAGUGGUGCCCGUCAUCUGAAUGGGUUUAAGGUGGCUCCAUAGGGUAAUCUUUGAUCGCCUGCGAGCGCUAGUGUUAUGGUUUCAAUGCUGUUUUUGCAUUCGUUUUAACACCCAGUCGUCUCAAGCAUAUGAAAUGCAAUAAGCAAUAAUGAAAUAGUGUUUUACUAUCAUCUCUGUUAAAAUCUUGGCUUUCAUAACUAAACAGCCGGCAAUUAACCAGCCGUGAGAAGCAAAAAGUUGUGACGAACCUAAACCUAAUGACUAGCUGUUUCCAUUGUGUCUCAAGCUGUCGACAUCUUUAUACUUUGGAAUACCAAAGAAAUCAUUUCUUUUUUUUUUUUUUUCGCUAAAACAAUGUACAGAAACAAGCGGCUUAAGAAUAGUGGGGACAGCCUCGCAGCGAAAACGCUCUCAUACAAGUCAUACAGGUAGAGAAACAACAACUGUAAGUAAACAGAGGAAGCUAGAAAGUCGAGCCGAAAAGAAAGAAGACGUUUCUGAAUAUGGGAAAUGAUGAUUCCUACUCACUCAGGUAUUACAGUUUAUCCAAAUAUAACCACUGUUAAAGAAAUCGUUAGAGCUCAACUCUUAUGUAUUCAGCUGUAAUGUGGUGUUUUCCUUCUUGAAAUAAUGUAGCUUUUGACUAAUAUGAAUUAAGGACUGCUGCUUAAGAUAUCUGCGUACUUGUUAAAAUAGAACUUCAGAUUAAUGUAUGUUUAUGUAUCUUUAUGUAUCUUGUGCUUUCGAUAUAAACACAUUUAGUACGUAUGUUGAUAUGGCUGAGCUCUUUUGGUGGGUUACUAAGGGUUUCCUGGAAAAACAGGAUCAAGGAUCACCUGAUCAAGGAUCAAGGAAGAGCAACAUUCCUAUUUGGG